rnacentral:lncRNA from 1 species
GGGUAUCCAAUGGUGUGUAUACCCCUUUGAAAGGGCUUACUAGUCAUGUGAGGUGCUACUAGAGAGACAAGUUAAGGUUUUGAAUGAGAGAUGAGAGUUGGAAGAAUAUUCUAGUGGAAAAAAAGAAUAUGAGAAACAGUUCAGAAACAUGGAAUCCCUGCUCAACUUCCUCUGCUCACUGCCCCCAGCCCCUUCAUCCAGGGAUGUUGAGGACAGAUUUCUCUACAGCAGCAUCUGAAGUCUCUCUGAAAACACAAGAAAAGAAUAUACAGAGAGCCUCCCAGAAACUGCAAGUCCCAUGGAAAUUAAGGCCAUUAGUGUUUUGUAUAAUAAACAGUC